rnacentral:lncRNA from 1 species
UAAAGUGAUUUUAAGAAAAGACGUUAACUAUAUCAUAGUACAGGUGGUCUUCAGAUGUGGCCAAAUAUAGAAGACACAGUGUAAGAUUUGGGCAAUACUUGGUUCACCAAUCCUUUGAGGCUUGGGAGUAGAAAGAACAAGAAUAAAGAUGUUAAGUAGAGUAAGAUGCAUUCUUCAAAGAUUCCUUUUUGUGGACCAUUUCUUUGAGAGAGAAGUUUUCUUCCUGUGAAUAAAUAUGCUGUUGCUUUUUUUAGCUCUAUCAUUUAUACUUACUAGUAUUUCAGAACUUUACGUUUGAGUUCUAUUUUCAUGCCAUAAAGAAUGAGGUAAAUAAUCUGAAACUUAAAUUCCCACGUGGAGUAAUUUCUCUAAUGUGGAGUUUCUCAAACUUGAGGGUACGUCAGAAGCACCUGCUGGCAUUGUUAAAAUGAAGGUUGCUGUGCUCAGCCCCAGAUUUUCUGACUGAAUAGCUCUGGGGUGGAGCUCUGUAAUUUACACUUCUAGCAAGUUCCCAGGUGAUGUGGAUCUCGGAGUGGGGACGGUACAUUUUGCGAACCACGGGGCUACUGAAAUGAGGUGUCUGUUCUCUAAUCUACAAGUUAAAAGAGGAAGAGAGAAGAGAAAAGACAGUAGUAAAGGAGGUACUUUUGCAUUAAUAAGAACACAGACCUAGGUGUCUCACCUCCACCUCCUACCUGAGCCACC